rnacentral:rRNA from 1 species
GACAGAGGGUGCAAACGUUGUUCGGAUUUACUGGGCGUAAAGGGCGCGUAGGCGGUCGUGACAAGUCACUUGUGAAAUCUCCGGGCUUAACUCGGAACGGUCAAGUGAUACUGUCGGACUAGAGUACAGAAGGGGCAACUGGAAUUCUCGGUGUAGCGGUGAAAUGCGUAGAUAUCGAGAGGAACACCUGCGGCGAAGGCGGGUUGCUGGGCUGAUACUGACGCUGAGGCGCGAAAGCCAGGGGAGCGAACGGG